AUCUGGUUUUGGCACAGUUCAACACAGGAAUUUCUCAGUGCAAGAUUUGAUCUUUACCAUGAAUUCUUAACCUUUCUAGUUCCUCAGCUCCUUAAGUUGACCUCUAUCUUAUCUGAGUGCGGGACCUUUGAGAGCUAAUAUUACUUUCAAAUUUAGAUGAGCUAUCCCUUAAAGUACAAUUUUUUUUGUUGUGGUGGUUAUACACAAUGCUUUCUGUAGGCCGUUAUUGCUUGUUUAAUUUUCUAUGGAAACGAUCUGCAUGCAAACAGAGUUCUGUUCCUUACCUCUGCUCCCGCUGCUUCUCCCAGGGGGCCCACCGGAGCUGGCGGCCAGUUGCUGUGGAUUCACCAGGACACCGUGGUGGAGGAGAGAUACCUCCCGGGGUUUGAUGUUCUGAGUCUGGGCAGGAGGAUAAUGCUCUUGUCACAUGGAAAACGUGUUGAAAAUUCAGCAGUUCCUGAAAUUUGAGCAAAUUUUAGUUAUCCAGUGAAGGCUUGAAAAACAAAGACUGAUCGAGGUCAGGCAUCUCGACGCGCUGUCUGUGGAUCCU
rnacentral:lncRNA from 1 species